CAUGAUUCACACGCAUUAUAUGAUAUUCAGUUUCUAAACAACCAAAAUUAAGAUACCAAUUUAGUACGAACAACAGGAGUACAUCUAUUUAGUCGCCACCAAAAAUAGUUAUCACAAAAAACAGGAGUACAUCGGUUUAGUACGAAUCAAGAAACACAACCAAGACCCAAGGUUCGUGAACAAUUCAAAAGGCGGCUUCCUCAAAUAUCCCCAUCUUCCCCUCACAUGAGCUUACCUAUGGCAAUACCAACAAAAAGUACAGCUAAAGUUAUACAGAUCACGACACUGAUGACAGCCAUGUAUCCACGGGGAGAGUCCAAAUCUGCUGCAGAGACAUACACAUUUGGUGCUAUGCGACUAGAUGGCAGUUGCCGUUGCACAGUACUAUAGUGGGUAGAUACAGCAGCAUUAGACACCCAUCGUGUUCCAAGUCCAUGGUAUUCGUCAUACCAAUGGAAGCCAUCCAGGUGAUCACCGCCCAACGGACAUUUGUAGUAAAAUCGCCCGGGGUUUCGCGAACCAUAACCAGCGCACUUCAACUUCAUAUUACCAUUACCGCAACUACAUGGAGGGGUUGGUGUUGAUACAACAGAAGCGGCAUCCAUCCUACCACACAAACCAUGUAAACACAGUCAAGAGGCGAGAAACAUGCGAUGAACAUUAUAUAAUUCAGCCUUAAUAUGAAAACAACUUCAACAAAACUAUAUAUAAAACAUCAAUAUAAUUUUAACAUUAUAUAAAACAUAUGCAUCAUCAGUUGAGUAAAGCAACCACAAACCUAAUUACUGUUCAGAUAAUGUGUCCACAUAGAUUCGGCUAAAGCAUUCCUCGCCGCGUUCCAAUGGGGGGAACACUCAACCGUAUCUACAAACUCAUCAUUUUCCACACCUAAACCAAAGCCACUAUCCUCAACCAUUGAAUCAAGUUGUUGUUCAAUAGGAUCAGUUGGCAUCUCCAUUCGAAUAAAAUUGUUAAGUAGAAAGGCAGCCAUAAUUAAUCGAUUUUGAACUCGUAUUGGGUAAAAGGAUGGGGAUCGAAGAAUACCCCAUCUCAUUUUCAAAAUGCCAAAUGCUCGCUCUAUGGCGUUACGAGCCUUACUGUGCCUCAAAUUAAAUAAUUCUUCUUUGUUUUGCGGCCUAGCAGUAUUUGGACCCCAUUCCUUCAAAUGGUAUCUAACACCUUUAUAAGGCGUUAGAAAACCUUCGGUAUUCGCGUAGCCAUUGUCACACAAAUAGUAUGUUCCUGACAAAGUGUCAUAAUAAUAGUUAAGUUUCACAUUUCAAGUAUGUGUAGUUGUUUAGAUAAAGGAUUAAUUGAAGUAUACUAUCUCAUAAAUUUUACCCUUUGGCACCUUUAGACCAUGAGGUCGGUUUAUGGCAUCUCUCAGUAUUCGGGAGUCCGCGGCCGAUCCUUCCCAACCCGUUAGGACGUAACUGAAAUUCAAGUUUCGAUCACAAACGCCUAGAACGUUUGUUGAUAUUUGACCUUUCCUUGUUCUAUAACGGGGCUUGUCCUCGCUGCCCACCAUGACAUUGAUGUAAGUGCCAUCUAACGCACCUAAACAGCCCUACGCACAAAACACAAUUUUUAUGAGUUUAUAACAUCAUUAUAUGAAAUGUUUCGAUCUAUGGACUCAAUACAAAUUCUCUUUAUGCUAUGUCUACCUUAAACCACUGCCACCGUUGAUCCGUGCAGUCGUUGGGAACAGCCUGAGGUUUGGACAAAAAGAUAUCGUGCACACGUAUAAUGGCCCUUAAAACCGCAUGGACAUAAUGCGAGAUUGUUUGGCCGGAUCUCCAAAAAUCAAAUCUCACAACUCGAUUUUUUUUAUGAUGUGCUAAUAUUGAAAGAAACAUUGCUAAUUGUUCUUCCACAGUAACGAAUCUGCCGUCUACUAGACCCCCCCUCUCACGUAAAAUCACACAAAGUCUAGCAAAUGUUCGUCGAUCCAUACGUAGGUUUGCAAUACAGUCUAUGUCAUUUAGACCAAUCAAACGACUUAAAUGUUUUUCUUGAUCGGGGAUCUUACGUACAAGCUCGUAUGUUAUUGUCGUGUCACCACGCAUUCUUUUUUUGGAUCUAGCCUUAACAUAAUAUGCAAGCAUAAGUGCCAAACGAAUGAUAUGCUCUUUCAUGAUCUCUUGUAAUAAAAGGAAGCAUAUGUCACGGACACGCAGACCUGCUCUAGGAGACAUUAAUGACACACUGCUGUAAUGAUGGCUAUAAUCUGCAAAAACGACGACUAUUUGUUGAUUACUCAGAAAACUCCCAAAAAAAGAGACUCAGGAAACUCUCAAAAGAAGGCUCAUUACAGUCAUGCAUAAGGGACAACACAUAUGACCUUGAUAAAAUAGACCUCUCUACAUAUCAUGCCCACUGCACUAUUUAAAUGUAACAUUAAAUCAUUCAUGGAGCAGAACAAGGACUCCCAAAAACAUUAAAAAAGUCUCAUUCAUGUCAUUCAUCAUGUUUAAUGCCACACCACAUAUAUCCCUGCUAAAUUAGACCUCAACACCUAUUAAAUGUCAAAGAGAAGUGAUACAUUAACAUUAAUUAAUCUCUUUAAAAAAAUUGAUAAUUAAAGUAAGAAAAAAAAUGUUAAUUAAAAUAAAAGACGGCUAAACAAAUAAUAGCCACAAAUCACUCCUCUACAUAAUAUUCUAAUUAAAACAAGAUGGAAAAAAAUCAUAUGAAAAUCAUAUAUAUUUUUACUUUUGUUUCAAUUCACGAGCUUUUACUUUUGUUUCAAUUCACUCUUUUAAAAGUUAACCCAAUAUAUGAAAAUCAUAUAUAUUUUUAUAUACAUAAUAAUAUAUCUUAAAUUUUUACAUAAGAAAAAAGUUUGGAAUUGAACACGGCAGAACUAAAANAAAUCAUAUGAAAAUCAUAUAUAUUUUACUUUUGUUUCAAUUCACGAGCUUUACUUUGUUUCAAUUCACUCUUUAAAAGUUAACCCAAUAUAUGAAAAUCAUAUAUAUUUUUAUAUACAUAAUAAUAUAUCUUAAAUUUUUACAUAAGAAAAAGUUUGGAAUUGAACACGGCAGAACUAAAAUAGUUGAUGGUUAAGGAGUUGAAGAAAACCCCUAAUUCUUUAACCAUCUUCUUCUUCCUCCUAAUCGAAACCCCUAAUUUUCAAGAAGCAAACAAUAGAAGGGCAAGCCAUCAUGUUUAAUGCAACAACACAUAUAUCCCUGCUAAAAUGGACCUCUUUACCUAUAAUGACAGCUGCACUAUUCAAAUGUUUGAUUAUAUAAUUCAUUGAGCAGAUUAAAGACUCUGAAAACAAUUUAAACUGUCUCAUUCAAGUCAUUCGUAUAGUUCAGUGCAGCAAUAUGUAUUCCAUGCUGGAAUAUACUAUAUACAAAUCAAGGUAAUCUAAAAUUACUUUACUGAUGGCUGAAAGCAUUCGUAGAGCAUAUUCAAGGUUAAAGAGGAUUUGGCUGAGUAAAAAAAACUAACCUUUGUUGCCUCUAUCCUCGUCUGUGUAAACAAGUCUGUUUCGCCUCCAAUUCGCUGUAUUAAAAAUCAUGGAGAUAACUUUUUUAUCAGUAAGCAGCAAAGAGAACACACAAACAUAGUACAGAUUUGGUAGUACGCACAAACACCCAAAAUAGAUUCAAGACGAAGAACACUCAAACAUAUUACACGAAGAACACACAAACAUAGUAAACAUAGCUUUAUUUUGCAGUAGUAUUUAAUUUAAUUUCCCUAAUAUUUUCAAGCUCCAGGUACCCACAAAUUUCACACAUACGAAAUUUGUUUCAUUUUUACCCACUAGUUUUGGAAUUCCAUAGCUGAAAUAAAUCUCAAACCAUGGGUGUGUGCAAUCCCAUCCAUAAUUCAUCUGGAUUUGGACGGACCUAUUGAGUUUCUUUGGUGAAAUUUCUCUUGUUUUUAUUCACACAAACACAGCAGUAAUACAUUCCUAAAGAAAUGCGAUGAGAGAAGAUGCACUAUCAAUGGAUUGAAUCAAAUAUGAGUAAUAUUUUUGGGGAAACCAUGGAAUCGGCGACAAUGAGAGCAAGUAUUACGAAAUUCGAAUCUAUAAAUCGAAAUAAAAAAUCAAUACCGAUAUAGAUAUAAGAUUCGAACUUUCGAAAUUCUUACCUUCGAACUGCUGAUUUCGCCUUGUUAUGAUUUUUUGCUGCAGAAUCUGGACGAAGGAUGAACAAAUGACGAAGGAGUAGGGUUAUGCCUUUCUAGA
rnacentral:lncRNA from 1 species